UCCCAGUCAUUAUUUUGCUUGGUUUCAGCACCCACGGCAAUCAUGAGCAGCUCCAGGCAGGUACCACCUACAAAAAGGAAACCAACAGUUACAUAUCUGAAACGGAAGAAAAGAAAUGAAGAAAGCUUAAAGUCAUCAGGAACAGCAUUUAUUGGACAGGUUAUAAAGUUUUGGAAUAGUCCCCUGUGGGUGGGAGUUGACAGAAUAGAAGAUUACGUGAAAAAGUUGCUUCACAGCAUCUUUUUCUUAGGUCACAUUCAUGAGGCCCGUCUUCUUCCAACUGACUUCUUUGAGUCUCAAGCGGUGAUGGACUAUUUAGAAACAAAAUUUAAAAUGACAUUCAACAAUUACAGGCUU